CUACGGGUCGCUGCAGUGAGGAAUUUUGCGCAAUGGGGGAAACCCUGACGCAGCAACGCCGCGUGAGUGAUGAAGGCCUUCGGGUCGUAAAGCUCUGUCAAGUGGGAAGAACCUAUCGAUAUUGAAAAUAUAUUGAUACUGACGGUACCACAAGAGGAAGCACCGGCUAACUCCGUGCCAGCAGCCGCGGUAAUACGGGGGGUGCAAGCGUUAUUCGGAAUCAUUGGGCGUAAAGGGCGCGCAGGCGGCCUUGUAAGUCAGAUGUGAAAGCCCGGGGCUCAACCCCGGAAGUGCAUUUGAAACUAUGAGGCUUGAGUAUGGGAGAGGGAAGUGGAAUUCCUGGUGUAGCGGUGAAAUGCGUAGAUAUCAGGAGGAACACCGGUGGCGAAGGCGACUUCCUGGACCAAUACUGACGCUGAGGCGCGAAGGCGUGGGGAGCAAACAGGAUUAGAUACCCGAGUAGUC
rnacentral:rRNA from 1 species